rnacentral:rRNA from 1 species
ACAAUGGUAGGAGAGCGUUCUAAGGGCGUUGAAGCAUGAUCGUAAGGACAUGUGGAGCGCUUAGAAGUGAGAAUGCCGGUGUGAGUAGCGAAAGACGGGUGAGAAUCCCGUCCACCGAUUGACUAAGGUUUCCAGAGGAAGGCUCGUCCGCUCUGGGUUAGUCGGGUCCUAAGCUGAGGCCGACAGGCGUAGGCGAUGGAUAACAGGUUGAUAUUCCUGUACCACCUAUAAUCGUUUUAAUCGAUGGGGGGACGCAGUAGGAUAGGCGAAGCGUGCGAUUGGAUUGCACGUCUAAGCAGUAAGGCUGAGUAUUAGGCAAAUCCGGUACUCGUUAAGGCUGAGCUGUGAUGGGGAGAAGACAUUGUGUCUUCGAGUCGUUGAUUUCACACUGCCGAGAAAAGCCUCUAGAUAGAAAAUAGGUGCCCGUACCGCAAACCGACACAGGUAGUCAAGAUGAGAAUUCUAAGGUGAGCGAGCGAACUCUCGUUAAGGAACUCGGCAAAAUGACCCCGUAACUUCGGGAGAAGGGGUGCUCUUUAGGGUUAACGCCCAGAAGAGCCGCAGUGAAUAGGCCCAAGCGACUGUUUAUCAAAAACACAGGUCUCUGCUAAACCGUAAGGUGAUGUAUAGGGGCUGACGCCUGCCCGGUGCUGGAAGGUUAAGAGGAGUGGUUAGCUUCUGCGAAGCUACGAAUCGAAGCCCCAGUAAACGGCGGCCGUAACUAUAACGGUCCUAAGGUAGCGAAAUUCCUUGUCGGGUAAGUUCCGACCCGCACGAAAGGCGUAACGAUUUGGGCACUGUCUCAACGAGAGACUCGGUGAAAUCAUAGUACCUGUGAAGAUGCAGGUUACCCGCGACAGGACGGAAAGACCCCGUGGAGCUUUACUGUAGCCUGAUAUUGAAAUUCGGCACAGCUUGUACAGGAUAGGUAGGAGCCUUUGAAACGUGAGCGUUAGCUUACGUGGAGGCGCUGGUGGGAUACUACCCUAGCUGUGUUGGCUUUCUAACCCGCACCACUUAUCGUGGUGGGAGACAGUGUCAGGCGGGCAGUUUGACUGGGGCGGUCGCCUCCUAAAAGGUAACGGAGGCGCUCAAAGGUUCCCUCAGAAUGGUUGGAAAUCAUUCAUAGAGUGUAAAGGCAUAAGGGAGCUUGACUGCGAGACCUACAAGUCGAGCAGGGUCGAAAGACGGACUUAGUGAUCCGGUGGUUCCGCAUGGAAGGGCCAUCGCUCAACGGAUAAAAGCUACCCCGGGGAUAACAGGCUUAUCUCCCCCAAGAGUUCACAUCGACGGGGAGGUUUGGCACCUCGAUGUCGGCUCAUCGCAUCCUGGGGCUGUAGUCGGUCCCAAGGGUUGGGCUGUUCGCCCAUUAAAGCGGUACGCGAGCUGGGUUCAGAACGUCGUGAGACAGUUCGGUCCCUAUCCGUCGUGGGCGUAGGAAAUUUGAGAGGAGCUGUCCUUAGUACGAGAGGACCGGGAUGGACAUACCUCUGGUGUACCAGUUGUCGUGCCAACGGCAUAGCUGGGUAGCUAUGUGUGGACGGGAUAAGUGCUGAAAGCAUCUAAGCAUGAAGCCCCCCUCAAGAUGAGAUUUCCCAACUUCGGUUAUAAGAUCCCUCAAAGAUGAUGAGGUUAAUAGGUUCGAGGUGGAAGCAUGGUGACAUGUGGAGCUGACGAAUACUAAUCGAUCGAAGACUUAAUCAA